rnacentral:lncRNA from 1 species
GGAGUCCGAGGUUGCUAUGGAGUCCCCGAAACUUUUGAAAACUGUCGGGGUUCCAGGCGAAGAGCAAGAGCGAAUGGAGGAUUUCUGGAGACAUGUGCUAAGCUUAAGGUGACAAGGGAAAGAGGACGUGGGGCUUUCAAUGGAGCAGGAUUGCACUUUAGAUCCUGGAUGACAGACCUGUAAGGACUGAGCAGACCUUUCACUGACAAGAUGGGAUUCUCAGUGAGAGCAUGGCAUCCUGAAACUAGGAUUUUGUCUUUAAUUCAGGAGAAGGGUAAUUUUACUGCCUACCUUGGGAAACACGAGAGUUGAACAUGAUAACUAUACAUGAUGGAUGAAACCAGCGUUAGGUGCUAUAAAUUUGGAAGUGGAACUUGAUAUUCUGGAGUGAUGUGUGCUCUUUUUGAAAAGAAAACACGUCUGAGUCAUUUUAGAAAGGAUCAUUUCUGCCACCUCUCCAAAAUCCAGACAUAACUUCAAGAUAUUGUGAGUCCAGCUGCAGAUCACUGCAAUAAAGUGCGUAUCUCAGUGAGGUGAGUCACACAAAGUUUUUGGUUUCUCAGGGCAUAUAAAAGUUAUGUUUACACUAUAUUGUGGUCUAUUAAGUGUGCAAUAUCAUUAUGUCUAAAAAAACCAGUGUCAUACCUUUAUUAAACAAUACUUGAUUGUUAAAAAAUGCUAGCCAUAAUUUUUCCAUGCAGGGUUGCCAUAAAAUUUCAAUUUGUAAAAUCACAAUAUCUGUGAAGCACAAUAAAAUGAAGCAAUCCUGUAUUCCCAAAACAAUGGUUAAGUAAAACUGUAAUUUAAAACACUGGAAAUACCACCAAUGGAAGAAGACAUUUUUCCUGUCUUUUAAGUUAGGAAAGAAUAAUACCUCCUAUAUCAGAAUCUUAGAGAAAUGAUGUUUACUCAGGAGCCAUAAUACUGGUGUCUGGCAACAGAAUCCACAUUGUUUUUUCUCAAAAUUAUUAACUUCUUUUUGGCUAUGUCUGCAGCACACAUAAGUUCCAGGGCAAGGGAUUGAACAUGCACUGCACCAGUGACCCAAGCCACAGCAGGGACAAUGCUAGGUCCUUAACCACUGGGCCCCCAGGGAAUUCCCUCAAAAUUUUUCAUUUCAGUGGCCCAUAGAUGUUUUCCCUCCAUGAGAGAACAUACCAGCAUUUUUUUAAAAUUAUUUUUUAUUUUAUUAUUUUUUGCUUUUUUUAGGGCCACGACUGCAGCAAAUGGAAGUGCCCAGGUUAGGGGUCAAAUCAGAGCUACAGCUGCUGACCUGUGCCACAGCCGCAGCAAUGCCAGAUCCAAGCUGCAUCUGCAACCUACACCACAGCUCAUGGCAACACUGGAUCUUUAACCCACUGAGUGAGGCCAGUGAUCAAACCCGCAUCCUCAUAAAUCCUGAUCAGAUUCAUUUCUGCUGCACCAAAAUGAGAACUCCCCCAGUGUUUAUUUUAGAUUCUCUAUUAAUAAGGAGUAGUACCUUGUACAUAAAAAGUGCUCCUAAGAGUUCCCAAGCUCAGCGGAAACAAAUCUGACUAGUAUCAAUGAGGAUGCAGGUUCGAUCCUUGGCCUUGCUCAGUGGGUUAAGGAUCCAGCAUUGCCUUGAGCUAUGGUGUAGGCCAUAGAUGGGGCUUGGAUCCCGCAUUGCUGUGGCUGUGGUGUAGGCCAGCAGCUGCAGCUCUUGAUUCAACCCCUAGCCUAGGAACCUCUAAAAACACCUGCUUCUUGCUUUUCAUGAUAUUUUCACAUGUGCUCUUUAAUUGCUUAUUACAGUAAUAACCCUGUGCCGAGACCAGCUCAUCAGGUAAGGGCUGAAGAAUGGGUGCUGUGAAACUUAAGAAAAAGUUUACAUAAAACAAGACACACAGACAUUUAUCUUAAUUAGAGGUUGGAACUAGGGGACUCAAGGUUUCAGGGAUCAAGAGCGCUGCCUCAAGAAACCACACUGUUUUUAUUGUGCUCUUUAGGAUUAAGUGAGGAGGGGGUUGCAGGUCCAGGUUUAGUUCUUUUAUUAUUUUAAAAAGUCUUUUUAUUAUUUUAAAAGUCACAUAGCUGGUAUGUGAUUAAGCUUUUAUUCUGACCUUUAGGCAUUUAACAAUCAUUAACAUUGAGGAAGCCUGGCAUCAACUAUCUAUACAUAGCAUCUAGAGAAUCACCAUUAUGCUUCUGAAAAGGGCAUACCUAUCUGAGGCAACCCGGAGUGCCUAGGUUUGCACCUUGUUCUCCUUUCCGAUGCAUAUUCUGUUAACGACCACUCAUAAACCCCCUGGGGCCAUGAGGUUCUUCUUUCUCUUAUUUUAACAGGACAUAUCAUGCUGUGCAAACAGCGUGACAAUCUGCACAGGUCUGGCUUGCCUAGACCAACACAUUAAGUCCUCAUUCAGCUGACCCUAUGAAUAACUUAUGCCUUUAGGUCUUUGUUCUUAAAUUUAAAUCAUUUACCGGCACUGCGACUGUUUUUCAAGCAGGAAUAUGGGGUAAAGUAAAGCAGGACAAGAUGGAGUUUUCAGCAUAGAAAAUAGAAGCAAAGAGGCUAAGAAAAGAUUGUAGAAACAUGUCUCCUGACAACCCUGUGCUGGUAUUAUUAUUUCAGAAGCCCUACAAGUUUGGGAAAGGCAUGCAAAAAAAAAAAAA